AUUCCAGCUCCAAUAGCGUAUAUUUAAGUUGUUGCAGUUAAAAAGCUCGUAGUUGGAUUUCGGGUGAGGAUGACCGGUCUGCCGUUGCGGUACGCACUGGACGUUUUCAUCUUGUUGUCGGGGACGCGCUUCUGGGCUUCACUGUUCGGGACGCGGAGUCGGCGCUGUUACUUUGAAAAAAUUAGAGUGUUCAAAGCAGGCAAUCGCUCUGAAUACAUUAGCAUGGAAUAACGCUAUAGGACUCUGGUCCUAUUGUGUUGGUCUUCGGGACCGGAGUAAUGAUUAAGAGGGACAGUUGGGGGCAUUCGUAUUUCAUUGUCAGAGGUGAAAUUCUUGGAUUUAUGAAAGACGAACUUCUGCGAAAGCAUUUGCCAAGGAUGUUUUCAUUG
rnacentral:rRNA from 1 species